CUUAUCCUUCCCUUCUAAUUGGCUGUCGCCCCUACGAGUCCUUGGAGAGGUCAAAAAUAAUGAUAACGAAAUUUACCUUAGAGUCGCUGUGGUUUUGAGAUAUACAGUUUAGUCGAUCACAUUUCUCUUGUUGGCUUAUCCAGUCCAGCACCGAGAUCUUUUUUUCAGGUGCUCAUUCAGCUAGCUAGCACAGCUAGCCUCAACAGCUGGUGGCUAUGGCUGCAGUUAUUUUAAGUUUCCCAACUCUACAGGGCCUGCGGAUAUUCACGCAGAAGCUGUCAUGGAGCACGAGAGGCGUGAGGCUUGUUUCAGGAGGGGUGAGAAGGAUAGAAAAGGUGCUGAUUGCCAAUCGAGGAGAGAUUGCAUGCCGUGUGAUGCGUUCAGCCAAGAAGAUGGGUGUACGCUCAGUGGCGGUGUACAGUGAUGCAGACAC